rnacentral:rRNA from 1 species
CCCGCACAAGCGGAGGAACAUGUGGUUUAAUUCGAUGAUACGCGAGGAACCUUACCUGGGCUUAAAUGGGAGUGACAGCUGUCGAAAGAUGGUUUUCUUCGGACACUCUUCAAGGUGCUGCAUGGUUGUCGUCAGCUCGUGCCGUGAGGUGUCGGGUUAAGUCCCAUAACGAGCGCAACCCUUACCGUUAGUUACCAUCAGGUUAAGCUGGGGACUCUAGCGGGACUGCCACCGUAAGGUGAGAGGAAGUGGGGAUGACGUCAAAUCAGCACGGCCCUUAUGUCCAGGGCUACACACGUGUUACAAUGGCCGGUACAAAGGGCAGCUACUUCGCGAGAAGAUGCUAAUCUCGAAAGCCGGUCUCAGUUCGGAUCGAAGUCUGCAACCCGACUUCGUGAAGCUGGAUUCGCUAGUAAUCGCGCAUCAGCCAUGGCGCGGUGAAUACGUUCCCGGGCCUU